UACGUAGGGGGCUAGCGUUGUCCGGAUUUAUUGGGCGUAAAGGGCUCGUAGGCGGUCUGUUGCGUCGGGAGUGAAAACUUACAGCUUAACUGUGAGCGUGCUUUCGAUACGGGCAGACUUGAGGCAUUCAGGGGAGAACGGAAUUCCUGGUGUAGCGGUGAAAUGCGCAGAUAUCAGGAGGAACACCAGCGGCGAAGGCGGCGCUCUGGGCCGGAACUGACGCUGAGGAGCGAAAGCGUGGGGAGCAAACAGG
rnacentral:rRNA from 1 species